rnacentral:rRNA from 1 species
ACCAGACUCCUACGGGAGGCAGCAGUGAGGAAUAUUGGUCAAUGGGCGGGAGCCUGAACCAGCCAAGUCGCGUGAGGGAUGACGGCCCUAUGGGUUGUAAACCUCUUUUGCCGGGGAGCAAAGUACCGCACGUGUGCGGUUUGGAGAGUACCCGGAGAAAAAGCAUCGGCUAACUCCGUGCCAGCAGCCGCGGUAAUACGGAGGAUGCGAGCGUUAUCCGGAUUUAUUGGGUUUAAAGGGUGCGUAGGCGGACGCUUAAGUCAGCGGUAAAAUUUCGGGGCUCAACCCCGUCGUGCCGUUGAAACUGACGCCCUUGAGUGAGUGAGAAGUAAGCGGAAUGCGUGGUGUAGCGGUGAAAUGCAUAGAUAUCACGCAGAACUCCGAUUGCGAAGGCAGCAUACCGGCGCCCAACUGACGCUGAAGCACGAAAGCGUGGGUAUCGAACAGGAUUGGAUACCCGAGUA